rnacentral:rRNA from 1 species
AUGGCAACUAAAUCGUCAUACCGCGGGUACCUAAUGCAGCUGCGCCAUGACAUGUGGGCACAUUUGCUUCAUAGAGGUUUUCCCUUACUUCCCACAACUACAUUUCCUAACUAUAAUUAUCAGUGGGACACUGCUGGGCAAGAACGCUUCAAAACUAUUACUAGCAGCUACUAUCGAGGGGCUCACGGGAUCAUUAUUGUCUAUGACGUGACAGACCAGGACAGCUUCAACAAUGUGAAGCAGUGGUUGAACGAGAUUGACUGCUAUGGUAGUGAGAAUGUUAACAAACUUCUUGUAGGGAACAAAUCUGAUCUCACUGACAAAAGAGUUGUAUCAUAUGAGACAGCGAAGGCAUUUGCUGAUGAGAUUGGCAUCCCAUUCAUGGAGACCAGUGCAAAGAAUGCCUUGAACGUUGAGCAGGCUUUCAUGGCUAUGUCUGCUUCAAUCAAGGACAGGAUGGCGAGCCAGCCAGCCGCAAACAGCGCUCGCCCAGCCACAGUGUAG